GUGGUUCCAAGUAAUAACAGGCAGAACAAAGUAAUUUACCAAGCAAAAUAAAACAAAACACACAAGUUUAACCCUAGUACAUUAAGAAACUGACCACAGAUAAAUCUCGCCCUCAGAGAUGUUCCAAUAAGCUUCUUUCACAGACUAGACUCCUUCCUAGUCUGGGCCCAAUCCUUUCCCCUGGUCCAAUCCUUGUUAGUUCCAGCUCAGGUGUUAACUAGGGGAUUUCCCAUGAGGGCUGCCCUGCAGA